CCUACGGGAGGCAGCAGCUAAGAAUCUUCCACAAUGGACGAAAGUCUGAUGGAGCGACGCCGCGUGAAUGAUGAAGGCCGUGAGGUUGUAAAGUUCUUUUCGGGAGGAGGAAUGAAGUUAUCAGGGAAUGGAUGACAGAUGACGAGAAUCCCGGAAUAAGCCCCGGCUAACUACGUGCCAGCAGCCGCGGUAACACGUAGGGGGCGAGCGUUGGUCGGAAUCAUUGGGCGUAAAGGGUGCGCAGGCGGCUUAGCAAGUCUGGUGUGAAAUGGUUGUGCUCAACACAAUCAGGCGCCGGAAACUGAGAAGCUAGAGUCAACGAGGGGAUGCCGGAAUUCCAGGUGUAGGGGUGAAAUCUGUAGAUAUCUGGAAGAACACCAAUGGCGAAGGCAGGCAUCUGGCGAUUGACUGACGCUGAGGCACGAAGGUGCGGGGAGCAAACAGGUUUAGAUACCCCUGUAGUC
rnacentral:rRNA from 1 species